rnacentral:rRNA from 1 species
CCUAUGAGUAGUUUAAAUGGCCGCAGUACUUUGACUGUGCAAAGGUAGCAUAAUCACUUGUCUUUUAAUUGGAGGCUGGAAUGAAGGAGGCGACGAAAUUUGGACUCUUGUUCUUUAGGAUAAAGUUGACAUAAGGGUCAAAAGGCCUUUAUAAAUCAAAGGGACGAUAAGACCCUAUAAAACUUUACUAUAAAGCAGGUAGUUUAGAUAAACACUCAUAUUUAUAGUUUAGCUGGGGCGGUUUAUAUAAAAACAAUUGUAGUUAAAAUAUAUUAAAUAAAAUCCGAGAGCUCUAAUAUGAAAUAACCAAGUUACUUUAGGGAUAACAGCAUAAUUCUCCCAGAGAGUCCUAAUUGGCGGGAGAGCUUAUGACCUCGAUGUUGAAUUGGGGUAUCUGGUGUAAGUAGAAAUAUACUAAGAUAGUCUGUUCGACUAUUAAACCCCC